UCUUUAUGAAGUGGCAAAUCGGUGUCCAGCUUUCAAUGGUUUGACCAUGAUUCACGAUCAAAUGCUGAUGAUGAGCAGAGCAAUGGACAGAAUGAUGGAGAAACUUUUUAAUACAAUCAGGGGUUUGGGCAGAAUCAUGAUGGCUUAUAUUGGAAAAUCCUUCUUCUGAAUGUUUUGAAUAAGUUUGAUUUGUUCAUGGAUGCUAUAAAGUGGCGUAGUCCUCAUGCUGAAUUCCAUUCUGUGGCUAUUAUGUCAAAACCAAAGUGGGACAGACCGAAUGCAGAAGAAACAAUAUUUCCUAUGCAAUGAAGUGUGUGUGGAGUUGAGAUACUUAUGUGGGGAAGCAUCUAUGGUGAAUUAUUGGAUUGCUCUGUGUUAUUCUUGGUUCUAUGAAGUGGCAAAUAAUUAUGCCUGCUUGGACCAACAAUCCACACUCAAAUGUCUCCUCUAAGUACAAAUUUGAUGUCCUGUUGUGGAUGUUUUUAUUGAAGUUAUUAUAGGCAUCAAUCCAGAAGUGUUUUGAGCUGUUGUAAACGCAAUCAAGGUGUUUUUCCAAGCAUCUUGGUCAUUGAUUUCAUGUAAGUAUCAUCAACAAGUUCUGGCUGCAUAAACAGUUGCUAUGAAUGAUUCCAGUAUUUAUGCUCAUAGACACGCAAUGAAUCCUGAAUUACUAAAAAAAUAAUAUCUUAUUUUUGGGUUGCGAUGGACGAGGGAUGUUGGUGAAGCUAAACAUACAGAGCUCUGGAGGCAUCGAAUUCCAUCUAAAGGAGAUGUUUCUCACUGGGCUAAAUUGUCAGGAUUCAAAAACUCAUGUUUACCACUAAAAUUUAAGACUCAUUGGACCAAGUGUUGUGUGCUUGCUAAUACGAAUUAUAUCACCUUUGUUUUUUAUUCUCCUCAAAAGGUGGUUGUAAAUUCAGUGGGACAGAUGGAAUGCUGGAUGAAAAAAUAUUUCCUAUGCAAUGAAGUGUGUGUAGAAUUGAGAAGGGUUGAUGUGGGGAAGUUAUUAUGGUGAAUUAUUGGAUUGGUCAGUGCUAUUCUUGGUUCUAUGAAGUCGAAAAUUGGUCUAUGACUUUCACUGCUUUUGUUGUGAUUUCUUUCCACACUCAAAUGGUAUUUAAAUUGCACCCAGUAAUCAAACAUUUUCGAGUUGAUUUUUAAGUUUUGGCUGAUCUUUCUCAUCUCUUAAUGUUGUAGCCUCCUCUGCCGUACAAAUUUGAUGUUCUGCUGUGGAUGUUUUAAUUAAGGUUAUUGAAGCAUCAAUCUAGACAUGUUUUGAGCCACUAUAUAUGCGAUGAAGGAGUUUUCUCAAGCAUCUUAGCCAUUGAAUUUCAUGUGUUGAUCGAACCAUCGAGGUUGCCAAAAAGAAAAGAACACAAUCUUGUCAAAGUAAUGAGGUUUAUUUUGCAUUUUACAUCUACACAUUCGACCUCAUGUUAAGUUAUUUGGUUUAUCUUUUGACUUUACUGAGUAAACAUUUUCACUAUCAGUUCCAUUAUUGAAAGCAAAAGGUAGAAUUAACUCUAGUUUUCAUACAAGUCUUUUGUUUAAAAUGGAAUAGUUUUUGUAUUUAUAGUGGAUGGCAGAAGAAAGUCUUUUCAAGUGAUGAGGUCACAGCUCUGACCAUCAACAUGUUGUUGGAUAGGUGUUUGGCCCAAUACUUACCAUACUUACUUUGUAAUUAUGUUAGAUUACUUGUAAAAUUCUAUGUGAGAGUUCAAUGCUAUAAUGUGAAAUUUUUUUUUUCUUUUUUUUUUUUUUAGAGAGAGAGAGAGAAUGUUGAUAUUAUUGAGUGACAAGAAAAAUUAGGUAUUUGAGUGUCUUUAAUCAAGAAGGGGUAUACGAGGGUUUCAAAGUUAGGCUGGGGUUAGUAUUGAGAGAUUAAUCUUGUAUUAUGUAUGUGAUAUUUCUAAUGGAUUGAUCACGUCCCGUGGAUGUAGGCAAAUUUUGCCGAACCACGUAAAAUCUGGUGUUUUUUAU